CAGUAGCCGCGGUAAUACGGAGGGUGCAAGCGUUAAUCGGAAUUACUGGGCGUAAAGCGCACGCAGGCGGCUUGUUAAGUCAGAUGUGAAAUCCCCGAGCUUAACUUGGGAACUGCAUUUGAAACUGGCAAGCUAGAGUCUUGUAGAGGGGGGUAGAAUUCCAGGUGUAGCGGUGAAAUGCGUAGAGAUCUGGAGGAAUACCGGUGGCGAAGGCGGCCCCCUGGACAAAGACUGACGCUCAGGUGCGAAAGCGUGGGGAGCAAACAGGAUUAGAUACCCGUGUAGUCCCUGUCUCUUAUAC
rnacentral:rRNA from 1 species